GUCCCUGUAGAGCAAUGGAUAUCGCUUUGGACUUCUUAUCCAAAGGUCAUGGGUUCGAAACCCACCUGGGACG